GACUGUGGAUAGCUCAGGCGGUAGAGCAUAUGGCUUAAUCUCAGGGUUGUGGGUUCAAGCCCCACGUUGGGCA